rnacentral:rRNA from 1 species
UAUAAGCAAUCUAUACUGUGAAACUGCGAAUGGCUCAUUAAAUCAGUUAUCGUUUAUUUGAUAGUACCUUACUACUUGGAUAACCGUGGUAAUUCUAGAGCUAAUACAUGCUAAAAACCCCGACUUCGGAAGGGGUGUAUUUAUUAGAUAAAAAACCAAUGCCCUUCGGGGCUCCUUGGUGAUUCAUGAUAACUUAACGAAUCGCAUGGCCUUGCGCCGGCGAUGGUUCAUUCAAAUUUCUGCCCUAUCAACUUUCGAUGGUAGGAUAGUGGCCUACCAUGGUAUCAACGGGUAACGGGGAAUUAGGGUUCUAUUCCGGAGAGGGAGCCUGAGAAACGGCUACCACAUCCAAGGAAGGCAGCAGGCGCGCAAAUUACCCAAUCCCGACACGGGGAGGUAGUGACAAUAAAUACUGAUACAGGGCUCUUUUGGGUCUUGUAAUUGGAAUGAGUACAAUUUAAAUACCUUAACGAGGAACAAUUGGAGGGCAAGUCUGGUGCCAGCAGCCGCGGUAAUUCCAGCUCCAAUAGCGUAUAUUAAAGUUGUUGCAGUUAAAAAGCUCGUAGUUGAACCUUGGGCCUGGCUGGCCGGUCCGCCUCACCGCGUGUACUGGUCCGGCCGGGCCUUUCCUUCUGGGGAUCCUCAUGCCCUUCACUGGGCGUGCUGGGGAACCAGGACUUUUACUUUGAAAAAAUUAGAGUGUUCAAAGCAGGCCUUUGCUCGAAUACAUUAGCAUGGAAUAAUAGAAUAGGACGUGCGGUCCUAUUUUGUUGGUUUCUAGGACCGCCGUAAUGAUUAAUAGGGAUAGUCGGGGGCAUCAGUAUUCAAUUGUCAGAGGUGAAAUUCUUGGAUUUAUUGAAGACUAACUACUGCGAAAGCAUUUGCCAAGGAUGUUUUCAUUAAUCAGUGAACGAAAGUUAGGGGAUCGAAGACGAUCAGAUACCGUCGUAGUCUUAACCGUAAACUAUGCCGACUAGGGAUCGGGCGAUGUUAUUCUUUUGACUCGCUCGGCACCUUACGAGAAAUCAAAGUCUUUGGG